rnacentral:rRNA from 1 species
AUUGAACGCUGGCGGCAGGCCUAACACAUGCAAGUCGAACGGUAACAGGAAGCAGCUUGCUGCUUCGCUGACGAGUGGCGGACGGGUGAGUAAUGUCUGGGAAACUGCCUGAUGGAGGGGGAUAACUACUGGAAACGGUAGCUAAUACCGCAUAACGUCGCAAGACCAAAGAGGGGGACCUUCGGGCCUCUUGCCAUCGGAUGUGCCCAGAUGUGAUUGGCUAGUAGGUGGGGUAACGGCUCACCUAGGCGACGAUCCCUAGCUGGUCUGAGAGGAUGACCAGCCACACUGGAACUGAGACACGGUCCAGACUCCUACGGGAGGCAGCAGUGGGGAAUAUUGCACAAUGGGCGCAAGCCUGAUGCAGCCAUGCCGCGUGUAUGAAGAAGGCCUUCGGGUUGUAAAGUACUUUCAGCGGGGAGGAAGGGAGUAAAGUUAAUACCUUUGCUCAUUGACGUUACCCGCAGAAGAAGCACCGGCUAACUCCGUG